UAUAUUUGCGCCGCUGAUAUCAGCAUACAUAAUAAUGAUUUAAAUAAUAUUGGAAUG
rnacentral:ncRNA from 1 species